rnacentral:rRNA from 1 species
GCGAGAUAGUUGUAGCAAUACGGCUUUGAAAGCGGCGCACGGGUGCGUAACACGUAUGCAACCUACCUUUUACUGGGGAAUAGCCUCUCGAAAGAGAGAUUAAUACCCCAUGAUAUGUUUCUAAGGCAUCUUGGAAAUCUUAAAGCUCCGGCGGUAAAAGAUGGGCAUGCGGUUGAUUAGCUAGUUGGUGAGGUAAUGGCUCACCAAGGCUUCGAUCAAUAGGGGGUCUGAGAGGAUGUCCCCCCACACUGGUACUGAGACACGGACCAGACUCCUACGGGAGGCAGCAGUAGGGAAUAUUGGACAAUGGGCGCAAGCCUGAUCCAGCCAUGCCGCGUGCAGGAUGAAGGCCCUAUGGGUCGUAAACUGCUUUUGUACGGGAAGAAACCUCACUACGUGUAGUGAGUUGACGGUACCGUGAGAAUAAGGAUCGGCUAACUUCGUGCCAGCAGCCGCGGUAAUACGAAGGAUCCAAGCGUUGUCCGGAUUUACUGGGUUUAAAGGGUGCGUAGGCGGACUUUUAAGUCAGUGGUGAAAGCUCGCAGCUUAACUGUGAAAUUGCCAUUGAAACUGAAAGUCUCGAGUGUGGUUGAGGUAACUGGAAUAUAUCAUGUAGCGGUGAAAUGCUUAGAUAUGAUAUAGAACACCAAUUGCGAAGGCAGGUUACUGAGCCACAACUGACGCUGAGGCACGAAAGCGUGGGGAUCAAACAGGAUUAGAUACCCUGGUAGUCCACGCCGUAAACGUUGAAUACUCGAUCUUAGCGAUACACAGUUAGGAUCCAAGCG